UUGUGUGUUGAUCUUAUUUUUCUUUACAUCACAUCACUUUGACUACUGAGUUUCUCAUGUGUAGUUUUAAUGCAGUUUUAAUAUGUUAUUUGUAGUUUUCAUUGUUAUAUGUUAUUUUAUACCUUUAAAAAUUAAUUAAAACAUCUUAAAUAUAUAAAUUUAAUUUAAAUUAAAAUAAUUAACUUUUGGGAAAUCUGGAACGACACUAUGCAAUCUGGGGAAGUAUGAGAAUAGUAAGGAGAAAACUGAUAUGUUGCUGACGUAUCACCCGGGAAAAAUAGGGAAAACAGGACAAUUCUCUAUGCCCUUAUAGAUGGUAAUUUAUACCAACUUACAUUGCCACUGAAGCUGUUUGUUUUUUUUUGUUUUUUUUUUGUUUGUUAUGGACUGUAAUUUACAUUAGCUUACAUUCGCCAAUAGAUUGCUAACUAGAUAAACCGUUAUUUGUGAUCGGAAUAUGGCUUUUAAGAUCUUCUAGUAGGAAACCGGUGGAGGCAAGAUUCAAACCCGAGACUUGUUCUAGAGGUUGUGUUACAUCUGUAUCAAUAAACUGUAAGGCUCACCUGCUAUUAUACAUUGAAGCAAUCAACAGUGUGAUAAGCUCUACUACUUUUAAUAACUUAUGCAGUUUUGUGUUUCCAAAUGCUGGAAGUUUCUACUACAUGGAGACCCAUUGAUUGUGCUAUACUUUAUUGGCUUUUUGAUCUUCAAGAUUAUAUCUGUUCCAUUUUAAUCAAACAUUUUGGUUGGAGUGUGCAUUCAAAGUUAAUCAGCAAUCUUGUUUUUUGUGUUAUAUGUAUUUUUUUCUAUUUAUAGCUCUAGUAAAAAUGUCUUUUAUCUAGUCAGUACGCUUCUACUCAUGUUUAUUAAUAAUUUAGUGAUGUGAUGGUUUAGCUAAUAUACAGUGAUUUUGUGCUGGUUACAAACUUUGGAUUUGGUAAAUUUUCAUCAAAUAGUUGUUAAAACUUUAUUUGUUUCUCUAAAGCUACCCAACUUUCAAUAGAUGUUC
rnacentral:lncRNA from 1 species